AUGAUCACUGUUCGUACACUUCUUGCCGUUGCCUCUGCACGCCACUGGUCUAUAUCUCAGCUUGAUGUUAAGAAUGCCUUUCUUAAUGGUGAGCUGCGUGAGGAGGUGUACAUGCAGCCACCCCCUGGGUAUUCUGUUCCUGAUGGCAUGGUAUGUCGUCUUCGUCGCUCUCUCUAUGGCCUUAAGCAAGCCCCUCGCGCCUGGUUUGAGCGUUUUGCCUCUGUGGUCACUACUGCUGGUUUUUCAGCAAGUGCUCAUGAUCCAGCCUUGUUUAUUCACCUUUCUCCUCGUGGUCGGACUCUUCUUCUUCUCUAUGUUGAUGACAUGGUCAUCACUGGGGAUGACCCCGAGUAUAUUGCCUUCGUAAAGGCCCGUCUUAAUGAGCAGUUUCUUAUGUCUGAUCUUGGACCUCUUCGCUACUUUCUUGGGAUUGAAGUCUCUUCUACCUCUGAUGGCUUUUUUAUAUCCCAGGAAAAGUAUAUCCAGGAUCUUCUUGCUCGUGCUGCUCUUACUGACGAGCGCAUUGUUGAGACUCCUAUGGAGCUCAAUGUUCACCUCCGUGCUACUGAUGGUGAUCCUCUCCCUGACCCGACGCGUUAUCGUCAUCUUGUUGGCAGUCUUGUCUAUCUAGCUGUCACUCGUCCGGACAUCUCUUAUCCGGUUCAUAUUUUGAGUCAGUUUGUCUCUGCUCCCACAUCGGUUCACUAUAGUCAUCUCCUUCGUGUUCUCCGAUAUCUCCGGGGCACGAUCUCUCACGUCUAUUCUUUCCUAGCUCCAGUUCUUUACAGCUUCAGGCCUAUUCGGAUGCUACGUGGGCUAGUGAUCCUUCUGAUCGCCGUUCACUUUCUGCUUACUGUGUUUUUCUUGGUGGUUCUCUCAUUGCCUGGAAGACGAAGAAACAGAUUGCAGUUUCCCGUUCGAGUGCUGAGGCUGAGUUGCGAGCCAUGGCUCUUUUGA
rnacentral:rRNA from 1 species